GUAGGGAAUCUUCCACAAUGGGCGAAAGCCUGAUGGAGCAACGCCGCGUGAGUGAAGAAGGAUUUCGGUUCGUAAAACUCUGUUGUAAGGGAAGAACAAGUACAGUAGUAACUGGCUGUACCUUGACGGUACCUUAUUAGAAAGCCACGGCUAACUACGUGCCAGCAGCCGCGGUAAUACGUAGGUGGCAAGCGUUGUCCGGAAUUAUUGGGCGUAAAGCGCGCGCAGGUGGUUUCUUAAGUCUGAUGUGAAAGCCCACGGCUCAACCGUGGAGGGUCAUUGGAAACUGGGAGACUUGAGUGCAGAAGAGGAUAGUGGAAUUCCAAGUGUAGCGGUGAAAUGCGUAGAGAUUUGGAGGAACACCAGUGGCGAAGGCGACUAUCUGGUCUGUAACUGACACUGAGGCGCGAAAGCGUGGGGAGCAAACAGGAUUAGAAACCCUAGUAGUCC
rnacentral:rRNA from 1 species